rnacentral:rRNA from 1 species
UACGAAGGGGGCUAGCGUUGCUCGGAUUUACUGGGCGUAAAGGGCGCGUAGGCGGACAGUUUAGUCAGAGGUGAAAGCCCGGGGCUCAACCUCGGAAUUGCCUUUGAUACUGGCUGUCUUGAGUAUGGAAGAGGUAUGUGGAACUCCGAGUGUAGAGGUGAAAUUCGUAGAUAUUCGGAAGAACACCAGUGGCGAAGGCGACAUACUGGUCCAUUACUGACGCUGAGGCGCGAAAGCGUGGGGAGCAAAC